GACGAACGCUGGCGGCGUGCUUAACACAUGCAAGUCGAACGAGUGGAGGAAGGGUGAGUAAUGUUUGGGAAACUGCCUGAUGGAGGGGGACAACUACUGGAAACGGUACCUAAUACCGCAUACCAUAAGGUGUGCCCAGGUGGUAUUCGCUAGUAGGUGGGGUAAUGGCUUACCUAGGCGACGAUCCCUAGCUGGUCUGAGAGGAUGACCAGCCACACUGGAACGGAGAAACGGGCAAGACUCCUACGGGAGGCAGCAGUAGGGAAUAUUGCACAAUGGGCGCAAGCCUGAUGCAGCCAUGCCGCGUGUGUGAAGAAGGCCUUCGGGUUGUAAAGCACUUUCAGCGGGGAGGCGGUACCCGCAGAGGAAGCCCCGGCUAACUCCGUGCCAGCAGCCGCGGUAAUAC
rnacentral:rRNA from 1 species